rnacentral:lncRNA from 1 species
CGGAAACAGAGCACCACCAAGUAAGUGACAAGGCGAUCCAUACACCAAACAAGAACAUCAAGAAAGACGGAGGGAGACACAGACGAAUCCACAAACCUACCACAACUGAAUCUGCUAAAAGAUACCACAACGCCAAGGAUGCAAAGAUCGACAACAUAAUAAAGGUGGCAAAGCAUCCACCCGACCCACCAAGGUGGCAAAACAUCCGCCCGAAGCGAUCACCAACACAACGACGGCGACAAAGCAUCCGUAAAAGUAGAAUGGCGGCAAAGUAUCCGCCAGCGAUACAAAGGUGGCAAAGCAUCCGCUAGACGAUGACCAAUACAACCUGGACGAUACAUAUGAGUGAAAGCAGAUGUAGAAGUGGAAACUCUCCGAGAAGAGUAGAUGACCACCACUAGUAGAGCUUCCAAGAUGAUGCCUCCAGAGAGGAGCGACGCCACACGCACCGUUUCACUCGGAAAGCUGACCAGAAGGAAGAGAGGCAAAGAAGGUAAACAGCGUAUGACAGGUGCCGCCAUCAUUGGCCCGCUAACAGAACCUAGGCUUUCACCUCGUUCCCUACCCAAUUGCGAAGGCCGAAGGAUACCGCAGCGCAGAAGAUCCCUCCGGC